UACGGUAGGGUGCAAGCGUUGUCCGGAAUUAUUGGGCGUAAAGAGCUCGUAGGCGGUCUGUUGCGUCGGCUGUGAAAACCCGGGGCUCAACUCCGGGCCUGCAGCCGAUACGGGCAGACUAGAGUUCGGCAGGGGAGACUGGAAUUCCUGGUGUAGCGGUGAAAUGCGCAGAUAUCAGGAGGAACACCGGUGGCGAAGGCGGUUCUCUGGGGCCUUACCUGACGCUGAGGAGCGAAAGCGUGGGGAGCGAACAGG
rnacentral:rRNA from 1 species